GACGUAGGGCGCGAGCGUUGUCCGGAUUUAUUGGGCGUAAAGAGCUCGUAGGCGGCUUGUCGCGUCGUCCGUGAAAACUUGGGGCUCAACCCCAAGCUUGCGGUCGAUACGGGCAGGCUAGAGUUCGGUGAGGGGAGACUGGAAUUCCUGGUGUAGCGGUGAAAUGCGCAGAUAUCAGGAGGAACACCGGUGGCGAAGGCGGGUCUCUGGGCCGAUACUGACGCUGAGGUGCGAAAGCGUGGGGAGCAAACAGG
rnacentral:rRNA from 1 species